rnacentral:rRNA from 1 species
CAAGUCAUCAUGCCCCUUAUGUCCAGGGCUACACACGUGCUACAUUGGCGCGCACAGAGGGAAGCAAUGCCGUGAGGUGGAGCAAAUCCCACAAAGCGCGUCUCGGUUCGGAUUGGAGGCUGCAAUUCGCCUCCAUGAAGUUGGAGUUGCUAGUAAUCGCGGAUCAGCAACGCCGCGGUGAAUACGUUCCCGGGCCUUGUACACACCGCCCGUCACACCACGAAAGCAGGUAACACCCGAAGUCGGUGAGCUAACCCUUACGGGAGGCAGCCGCCGAAGGUGGGGCUUGUGAUUGGGGUGAAGUCGUAACAAGGUAACC